rnacentral:rRNA from 1 species
CAUCUAGCGAUCCGAUGGGGUAUUGUUGCCUUGUCGAGGAGCUUCCCGGAAACGAAAGUCUUUCGGUUCCGGGGUAGUAUGGUUGCAAAGCUGAAACUUAAAGAAAUUGACGGAAUGGCACCACCAGGAGUGGAGCCUGCGGCUUAAUUUGACUCAACACGGGAAAACUCACCCGGCCCGGACACCGUAAGGAUUGACAGAUUGAAAGCUCUUUCUCGAUUUGGUGGUUGGUGGUGCAUGGCCGUUCUUAGUUGGUGGAGCGAUUUGUCUGGUUUAUUCCGAUAACGAGCGAGACUCUAGCCUGCUAAAUAGUGACUAGAUUUUUAUGUCUAGUCUACUUCUUAGAGGGAUAAGCGGUGUUUAGCCGCACGAGAUUGAGCGAUAACAGGUCUGUGAUGCCCUUAGAUGUCCGGGGCUGCACGCGCGCUACAAUGGAAGAAUCAGCUGGCCUAUCCAUUGCCGAAAGGUAUUGGUAAACCGUUGAAACUCUUCCGUGACCGGGAUAGGGAAUUGUAACUAUUUCCCUUGAACGAGGAAUUCCUAGUAAGUGUGAGUCAUCAGCUCACGCUG